GUAUAUGUGGCAUAUUGGUUUGAGUGUUGGACUAUGACCCUGGAGAUCAGGGUUCGAUUCCCAGCUCAGCCA